rnacentral:rRNA from 1 species
AUUGAACGCUGGCGGCAGGCCUAACACAUGCAAGUCGAGCGGAUGAAGGGAGCUUGCUCCUGGAUUCAGCGGCGGACGGGUGAGUAAUGCCUAGGAAUCUGCCUGGUAGUGGGGGAUAACGUCCGGAUACGGGCGCUAAUACCGCAUACGUCCUGAGGGAGAAAGUGGGGGAUCUUCGGACCUCACGCUAUCAGAUGAGCCUAGAUCGGAUUAGCUAGUUGGUGGGGUAAAGGCCUACCAAGGCGACGAUCCGUAACUGGUCUGAGAGGAUGAUCAGUCACACUGGAACUAAGACACGGUCCCGACUCGUACGGGAGGCAGCAGUGGGGAAUAUUGGACAAUGGGCGGAAGCCUGAUCCAGCCAUGCCGCGUGUGUGAAGAAGGGCUUCGGAUUGUAAAGCACUUUAAGUUGGGAGGAAGGGCAGUAAGUUAAUACCUUGCUGUUUUGACGUUACCAACAGAAUAAGCACCGGCUAACUUCGU